GCCGGAGUGGUGCAAUCGGUAGACACGCAGCGUUCAGAACGCUGUGGGCGCAAGCCCAUAGGAGUUCAAGUCUCCUCUCCGGCA
rnacentral:tRNA from 3 species